rnacentral:rRNA from 1 species
ACUCAAAUGAAUUGACGGGGGCCCGCACAAGCAGUGGAGCAUGUGGUUCAAUUCGAUGCAACGCGAAGAACCUUACCUAGGUUUGAAAGGCUCUGUAAACCGGUGAAAGCCGGCUAGCGUAGCAAUACGCGCGGAGUACAGGUGCUGCAUGGCUGUCGUCAGCUCGUGCCGUGAGGUGUUAGGUUAAGUCCUGCAACGAGCGCAACCCUUACACUUAGUUGCCAUCAGGUAAUGCUGGGCACUCUAAGUGGACUGCCUACGCAAGUAGUGAGGAAGGUGGGGAUGACGUCAAGUCCUCAUGGCCCUUACACCUAGGGCCACACACGUGCUACAAUGGUCGGUACAAAGGGCUGCGAAGCCGCAAGGUGAAGCCAAUCCCAAAAAACCGAUCUCAGUUCGGAUUGGGGUCUGCAACUCGACCCCAUGAAGCUGGAAUUGCUAGUAAUCGCGUAUCAGCACGACGCGGUGAAUACGUUCCCGGGCCUUGUACACACCGCCCGU